GUAGAGGGAAUGAAUCUCAGAUUUACUUCUGUCCAACAUCAUCUUCACUCAAACACAACUGCUCCCAUGACAGUGAUGUGGGACUGGAGUGUGCUGGCAGUGUGAGGUUGCUUGAUGGUGGCAGUCGCUGUGCUGGGAGAGUGGAGGUUCUUCAUAGAGGACAGUGGGGAACAGUGUGUGGUGAUGACUGGGAUAUGACUGCUGCUGCAGUGGUGUGUAGAGAGCUGCGCUGUGGAGAAGCUGUAGCUGCGCUGAGUGAUGCUCACUUUGGACCAGGAUCAGGACCAAUCUGGAUGGAUGAUGUGUACUGUGUAGGAUCAGAAUCCACUUUGAAACACUGUACAUCACCAGGAUGGGGUAAACAUGACUGUGAUCAUUCUAAAGAUGCUGGAGUCAUCUGUUCAGGAGUCAGGCUGGUUGGUGGUUCUGACUGCUCUGGGAGAGUGGAGAUGCUUCAUGGAGAGACCUGGUCCACAGUGUGUGAUGCUGAUUUUGACC